UACGUAGGGUGCAGGCGUUAAUCGGAAUUACUGGGCGUAAAGCGUGCGCAGGCGGUUUCUUAAGUCAGAUGUGAAAGCCCCGGGCUUAACCUGGGAACUGCGUUUGAUACGGAUGGGCUAGAGUUCGGGAGAGGAGAGUGGAAUUCCCAGUGUAGAGGUGAAAUUCGUAGAUAUUGGGAAGAACACCGGUGGCGAAGGCGGCUCUCUGGACCGAGACUGACGCUGAGGCGCGAAAGCGUGGGGAGCAAACAGG
rnacentral:rRNA from 1 species